UUAGCUCAAAUUUGUAUAGAAUGGGAUCGUUUUCCUACGUUUGCCGCUAGGGGCGCUGUUCCAACUGCAUACAAAAUUAGGUUA
rfam:Bombyx mori DNA, contig: Bm_scaf53_contig27104, strain: p50T/Dazao, build 2, whole genome shotgun sequence.